CUGGCUCUGGAAGAGUGUGCUCAGGCUGUGCUUUACUGGCCCAUGGGAAUACAAAGCCAAUGGUGAUGAACGAGCUCUACAAGAAGCUUUUGGACUUCCUAAAAUACCAACUUUCAGGGAAAGCUGACUCAUAGACCUUACCCUAGCUGGUGAUUAAGG